rnacentral:rRNA from 1 species
AAUUUACAAUGAAGAGUUUGAUCCUGGCUCAGGAUGAACGCUAGCGGCAGGCUUAACACAUGCAAGUCGAGGGGCAGCACGGGUA